ACCCCUUAGUAGGAGAGUUGCCACCGGAUCUCAUAAGAACUCCGAAGUUAAGCGUGCUUGGGUGAGAGUAGUCCCCGGAUGGGUGACCUCCCUAGGAAGUCCCCGGGUACAUGUGCAUGUGUUGUGAGACGCUUGUUGUUAUGAA